GCCCGGCACGGUGGCGCACGCCUGUAAUCCCAGAGACUUGGGAGGCUGAGACAGGAGAAUCGUAAGUUCAAAGCCAGCCUCAGCAACUUAGCGAGGCCCUUAAGGAACUUAUGAGAUUCUGUCUCAA
rnacentral:sRNA from 1 species